GAAGCGGGAUGAGCUCAAAUUUGUAAUCUGGUGGACUCAGUUCAUCCGAAUUGUAAUCUAUAGAAAAGUUUUCCGCGCUGGACCGUGUCUAAGUCCCUUGGAACAGGGUGUCAGAGAGGGUGAGAAUCCCGUGCUUGAUACGACCACCAGUGCUAUGUGAUACUUUUUCAACGAGUCGAGUUGUUUGGGAAUGCAGCUCAAAAUGGGUGGUAAAUUCCAUCUAAAGCUAAAUAUUGGCGAGAGACCGAUAGCGAACAAGUACCGUGAGGGAAAGAUGAAAAGCACUUUGGAAAGAGAGUUAAACAGUACGUGAAAUUGUUAAAAGGGAAACGAUUGAAGUCAGUCGUGCUCUCUAGGACUCAGCCAGUUCUUCUGGUGUAUUUCCUAGUGAGCGGGUCAACAUCAGUUUAGAUCGCUGGAUAAGGUCAUUAGGAAUGUGGCUCCCUCGGGAGUGUUAUAGCCUAGUGUCGCAUACAGUGGUUUAGACUGAGGAACGCAGCUCGCC
rnacentral:rRNA from 1 species